UGGGGAAUAUUGGACAAUGGGCGCAAGCCUGAUCCAGCCAUGCCGCGUGAGUGAUGAAGGCCCUAGGGUUGUAAAGCUCUUUCACCGGUGAAGAUAAUGACGGUAACCGGAGAAGAAGCCCCGGCUAACUUCGUGCCAGCAGCCGCGGUAAUACGAAGGGGGCUAGCGUUGUUCGGAUUUACUGGGCGUAAAGCGCACGUAGGCGGACUUUUAAGUCAGGGGUGAAAUCCCGGGGCUCAACCCCGGAACUGCCUUUGAUACUGGAAGGCUUGAGUAUGGUAGAGGUGAGUGGAAUUCCGAGUGUAGAGGUGAAAUUCGUAGAUAUUCGGAGUAACACCAGUGGCGAAGGCGGCUCACUGGACCAUUACUGACGCUGAGGUGCGAAAGCGUGGGGAGCAAACAGG
rnacentral:rRNA from 1 species